AUUGAACGCUGGCGGCAUGCCUAACACAUGCAAGUCGAACGAGUGGCGGACGGGUGAGUAAUGUCUGGAAAACUGCCUGAUCGAGGGGGAUAACUACUGGAAACGGUAGCUAAUACCGCAUACCGUCGUUUGUGCCCAGAUGGGAUUAGCUAGUAGGUGGGGUAAAGGCUCACCAAGGCGACGAUGCCUAGCGGGCCUGAGAGGAUGACCGCACACACUGGAACUGAGACACGGCCCAGACUCCUACGGGAGGCAGCAGUGGGGAAUAUUGCACAAUGGGCGAAAGCCUGACGCAGCCAUGCCGCGUGUGUGAAGAAGGCUUUCGGGUCGUAAAGCACUUUCAGCGGGGAGGCGUUACCCGCCCAGGAAGCCACGGCUAACUCCGUGCCAGCAGCCGCGGUAAUAC
rnacentral:rRNA from 1 species